UGGAAGAAGGCCUUCGGCGUAAACCACUGUCGAAGGGAAGAUAUUGACGGUCCCUUGGAGGAAGCCCCGGCUAACCUACGUGC
rnacentral:rRNA from 1 species